GCUCGGGUGGCGGAAUUGGUAGACGCGCAUGGUUCAGGUCCAUGUGUUCGCAAGAACGUGCUGGUUCAACUCCAGUCCCGAGUACGA
rnacentral:tRNA from 1 species